rnacentral:lncRNA from 1 species
CUGGAGAUUGAUCAGUUUAUUGAGGUCAAUCGAUUUAUCCUAAUAGUCACCAUGAGAAAAAAUUAUUGCAUGCGCCAAAUGCAAGUGAAUUAGGGCAAAUGCUAGAGCAUAUGUAUGGUGGAUGGUGUGCAAUUCAGAAUUAGUGAAAUACAAAGGGUAGCGUGGUAUGUUAACUAUCGUGGGAUUUGAUGCGAUCCAACUGCAGCUGGUGCAUGC